AUUGAACGCUGGCGGCAUGCCUUACACAUGCAAGUCGAACGGCAGCACGGGUGAUUGCACCUGGUGGCGAGUGGCGAACGGGUGAGUAAUACAUCGGAACGUACCUUAUCGUGGGGGAUAACGCAGCGAAAGCUGUGCUAAUACCGCAUACGCCCUGAGGAGCAAAGCGGGGGAUCGCAAGACCUCGCGCGAUUAGAGCGGCCGAUGCCUGAUUAGCUUGUUGGUGGGGUAAAAGCCCACCAAGGCGACGAGCAGUAGCUGUGCGGGGUGGACGAUCAGCCACACUGGGACUGAGACACGGCCCAGACUCGUACGGGAGGCAGCAGUGGGGAAUUUUGGACAAUGGGGGAAACCCUGAUCCAGCAAGGCCGCGUGAGUGAAGAAGGCCUUCGGGUUGUAAAGCUCUUUUGUCAGGGAAGAAACACCGGCUCUAACACAGUCCGGGAAUGACGGUACCUGAGGAAUAAGCACCGGCUAACUACGUGCCAGCCGCCGCCGUAA
rnacentral:rRNA from 1 species